rnacentral:rRNA from 1 species
GCGUAAGAGCUCGUAGGUGGUUCGUCACGUCGGAUGUGAAACUCUGGGGCUUAACCCCAGACCUGCAUUCGAUACGGGCGAGCUUGAGUAUGGUAGGGGAGUCUGGAAUUCCUGGUGUAGCGGUGGAAUGCGCAGAUAUCAGGAGGAACACCAAUGGCGAAGGCAGGACUCUGGGCCAUUACUGACACUGAGGAGCGAAAGCGUGGGGAGCGAACAGGAUUAGAUACCCUGGUAGUCCACGCCGUAAACGGUGGGCACUAGUUGUGGGGACCUUCCACGGUCUCUGCGACGCAGCUAACGCAUUAAGUGCCCCGCCUGGGGAGUACGAUCGCAAGAUUAAAACUCAAAGGAAUUGACGGGGCCCCGCACAAGCAGCGGAGCAUGCGGCUUAAUUCGACGCAACGCGAAGAACCUUACCAAGGCUUGACAUAUACAGGAAUAUGGCAGAGAUGUCAUAGCCGCAAGGUCUGUAUACAGGUGGUGCAUGGUUGUCGUCAGCUCGUGUCGUGAGAUGUUGGGUUAAGUCCCGCAACGAGCGCAACCCUCGUUCUGUGUUGCCAGCAUUUAGUUGGGGACUCACAGGAGACUGCCGGGGUUAACUCGGAGGAAGGUGGGGAUGACGUCAAAUCAUCAUGCCCCUUAUGUCUUGGGCUGCACGUAUGCUACAAUGGCUGGUACAAACGGCUGCAAUACCGCAAGGUGGAGCGAAUCCGAGAAAGCCAGUCUCAG